UGGGGAAUAUUGGACAAUGGGGGAAACCCUGAUCCAGCCAUGCCGCGUGAGUGAUGAAGGCCCUAGGGUUGUAAAGCUCUUUUGCCAGGGAAGAUAAUGACGGUACCUGGAGAAUAAGACACGGCUAACUUCGUGCCAGCAGCCGCGGUAAUACGAAGGUGUCUAGCGUUGUUCGGAAUCACUGGGCGUAAAGCGUACGCAGGCGGACUGACAAGUCUGGGGUGAAAGCCCGAAGCUCAACUUCGGAAUUGCCUUGGAAACUGUCAGUCUCGAGUGUAAGAGGGGGUAGCGGAAUUCCAAAUGUAGAGGUGAAAUUCGUAGAUAUUUGGAGGAACACCGGUGGCGAAGGCGGCUACCUGGCUUACAACUGACGCUGAGGUACGAAAGCGUGGGGAUCAAA
rnacentral:rRNA from 1 species